ACCUACCUGGGCAUACCACCCUGAACACGCCCGAUCUCGUCCGAUCUCGGAAGCUAAGCAGGGUCGGGCCUGGUUAGUACUUGGAUGGGAGACCGCCUGGGAAUACCAGGUGCUGUAAGCU
ensembl:rRNA 5S_rRNA 5S ribosomal RNA